GUACUAUUAGAGAAGCUUCAGGGAGGGGAGCAAUCAGUUCAGUGAUAGUAGCGACAUCAGUUAAAAUAGCAAGUUCAGUUGGUGUUGCAAGUUCAAUAGCUUCAGUCAGUUCUUCCCUUUGUAUCAAACAAUUCAAACCACUCCCCCUUGUAAAUCUAGCCAAUUAUGUCCUUCACUACUAGUUUCUCCCUGAAAGACAUGCUCG
rnacentral:lncRNA from 1 species